GAUUACGUGGAAGAGCUUAACUAAAGUGAACUAAUUAAUACUAUAUUUUUUUGCUAUUUAUCGCAUCCUUAUACCUACGGGUGGAAUUAUAUUUAGAGCUUAAACCUAGACUUACAAUUAGUGAGCAAUAACUUAAAACUAGGUUAAAAUAGAUACGAGGCGCGUUUGGUUAAUUAAUUUACCGCAAACUAGUGCUAUUAGAAGGAAACAGUUGUUCGGAACAGACCGUGUUGCCAGUUUA